rnacentral:tmRNA from 1 species
GGGGGCGACAGGUUUCGACGGGUUUGAUGAGGGUGUUGCUGCGUGCCGAGGUCGUCAGUCACCUCGAAAAACAACUGGCACUUUUUAACUGCCAACACUGAGUUGGCCCUGGCUGCGUAAGCUUCGGCUUACGCACCUGCGUGAGUGGCAGCCCGCCUGAGGCGGCGCUCACGUAUCGCAAAGUCGGGCUGGUGUGACCCGGGGCCCGAACG